rnacentral:rRNA from 1 species
UGCUUUUGAAACUACUAAGCUUGAGUACUGUAGGGGGUAGCGGAAUUCCUAGUGUAGGGGUGAAAUUCGUAGAUAUUAGGAGGAACACCGGAGGCGAAAGCGGUUAUCUGGACAGUCACUGACGCUGUUGCACGAAAGCGUGGGGAGCAAACAGGAUUAGAUACCCUGGUAGUCCACGCAGUAAACGAUGAGUGCUAGAUGUUGGGGUUUAAGUCUCAGUGUCGCAGCUAACGCAUUAAGCACUCCGCCUGGGGAGUACGGUCGCAAGAUUAAAACUCAAAGGAAUUGACGGGGACCCGCACAAGCGGUGGAACAUGUGGUUUAAUUCGAUGCUACGCGAAAAACCUUACCAGGCCUUGACAUGGUGAUCAUAUGGCUGCGAAAGC